rnacentral:rRNA from 1 species
AGGUAACAUCAAAUCGUACCCCAAACCGACACAGGUGGUCAGGUAGAGAAUACCAAGGCGCUUGAGAGAACUCGGGUGAAGGAACUAGGCAAAAUGGUGCCGUAACUUCGGGAGAAGGCACGCUGAUGGUAGGUGAAGCGACCUGCUCGUGGAGCUGAAAUCAGUCGAAGAUACCAGCUGGCUGCAACUGUUUAUUAAAAACACAGCACUGUGCAAACACGAAAGUGGACGUAUACGGUGUGACGCCUGCCCGGU